GACUACGGCCAUACCACCCUGAGAACGCCCGAUCCCGUCUGAUCUCGGAAGCUAAGCGGGGUCGGGCCCGGUUAGUACUUGGAUGGGAGACCGCCUGGGAAUACCGGGUGCUGUAGCUU
rnacentral:rRNA from 1 species